UGGGGAAUAUUGCACAAUGGGCGCAAGCCUGAUGCAGCAACGCCGCGUGAACGAUGAAGGUCUUCGGAUCGUAAAGUUCUGUUGCAGGGGAAGAUAAUGACGGUACCCUGUGAGGAAGCCCCGGCUAACUACGUGCCAGCAGCCGCGGUAAUACGUAGGGGGCUAGCGUUAUCCGGAUUUACUGGGCGUAAAGGGUGCGUAGGUGGUCUUUCAAGUCGGUGGUUAAAGGCUACGGCUCAACCGUAGUUAGCCUCCGAAACUGGAAGACUUGAGUGCAGGAGAGGAAAGUGGAAUUCCCAGUGUAGCGGUGAAAUGCGUAGAUAUUGGGAGGAACACCAGUAGCGAAGGCGGCUUUCUGGACUGCAACUGACACUGAGGAACGAAAGCGUGGGUAGCAAACGGG
rnacentral:rRNA from 1 species